UAUUUGUUCUCAGUUCCGUUGUAUUUACGUUGUGUGUGUGUGUGUGUGUGUGUGUGUGUGUGUGUGUGUGUGUGUGUGUGUGUGUGUGUGUGUUAUUCCUUUUUUCGUUUGUUUUCCGUCAUGCUUUCUUUUCCGUGUAUGGGGCAAUUUUGUGCAUUUCCUGGAGUCUGGGGGUGGGGGGGGUUACCGUUCAAGAGGGAGGUAGAUUACUAUUUCAAGAGAAAGUUCAGUUAUUCUCUAUAUUGGUGGCAGGAGGGCGACAAGGGGCAGGGGUUUAGCUACCGUUCGUUACACCACACCAUGUGACGGAGAUGAACACCGAGGUCACGCGCAGCUAUAUCGUGUGCCCCCAACUUCACCUUUACACCACACAAGGAAGGAAGGUCAGAUCCACCCUGCUUCAUCUAUACCAGACCGUUUCUUUAUUGAGUUAUCGGCCUCAUCUCCUCAAGUUUCAUUGUAUACAAGGCGAACAAGCAGUACUAGACGGCUCUUCUGAAGUGGGCGUUAACCAUGUAUCUAUCAGGCUCCCCUUGAACGGGUGGAGGCCGCGUCCGUUUUCUCUAGUAUCUCUAUCGAAAA